ensembl:lncRNA novel transcript
UAUCUCAGAAGAUCAUUGAAAAUAAUCCACCUGAAUAGUAUUCAGGAGCUGGAAAUUUGCUAUGUGUCCUGGCCACAUCUGAUAAGAAAGCUUCAUUGUUACCUGAAGGAGAUGAAGAAUCUUCGCAAACUCAUUUUUCUCCAGGUGCCAUCCUUACACGUCAAUUACCGCGAGGAAUGCUCAGUCGCCAAAAUCAGCUCUAUGUUCCUCAGGCUGAAACACCUCCAGCUGCUUAAAAUGAAUAUGGUCACCUUCCACAGAGGGCACCUGGGACAGCUGAUCAGGUGCCUCUAGAACCCCUUGGAGAACUUGGAAUUAACUUGCGGCUACCUAUUGGAAGAGGACUUGAAGUGUCUCUACCAGUACCCAAGCCUCGCUUACCCAAAGCAUCUGAAUCUCAGCUACAUGCUGCAGUUCUGUAUCAGUCUUGAACCCCUCGGAGCUCUGCUGGAGAAAGUUUCUGCCAACACGAGGGUCUCGAGAGAGGCAGCAAUUACUCUUAAGACCCUCAUCUUGGAGGGCUGUCAGAUCCACUACUCCCAACUCAGUGCCAUCCUGCCUGGCCUGAGCCGCUGCUCCCAGCUCACCACCUUCUACUUUGGCAGAAAUUGCAUGUCUAUGGAAGCCCUGAAGGACCUGCUGUGCCACACCAGUGGGCUGAGCAAGU